GUACUAGACGUAUGCUACACUGAAUCAACAUAUAUCCUUAGACCGGGAUUGAUCCGUCCAAGCGCUAUACAGCAGAGCUCUUAGUAGCUCAGCAAAGUGUGAGUUAGUCUUUUAUACAUAUUAACAAUAAUUUUAGUAGAUGUGACAUAUUACACUAUUUGUCUUUUUCUGAGGUAUUUUGAGUUGUUACUCACCUGCUCCUAAAAAGUGUGUGUGU